rnacentral:piRNA from 1 species
UGAACAGACCCUUCGAGGCUUGCCAUCAUUCA